GAAUGGUAGCAAAGUGGGUCAAUGCGCUGGACUGAAAAUCCAAAGAUAAAGGUUCGAGUCCUUUCUAUUCC
rnacentral:tRNA from 1 species